AGGUAAGCUACUAAGAGCGAAUGGUGGAUGCCUUGACUGGUAAAGGCGAUGAAGGACGUACUAGACUGCGAUAAGCUACGGGGAGCUGUCAAGAAGCUUUGAUCCGUAGAUUUCCGAAUGGGGCAACCCAAUGUAUAGAGAUAUACAUUACCUAUAUAGGAGCGAACGAGGGGAAUUGAAACAUCUUAGUACCCUCAGGAAAAGAAAUCAAUAGAGAUUGCGUCAGUAGCGGCGAGCGAAAGCGCAAGAGGGCAAACCCAGUGCUUGCACUGGGGGUUGUAGGACUGCAAUGUGCAAGAGGUAAGUUUAGCAGAACAUUCUGGAAAGUAUAGCCAUAGAGGGUGAUAGUCCCGUAUGCGAAAAACAAACCUUAGCUAGCAGUAUCCUGAGUAGGGCGGGACACGAGGAAUCCUGUCUGAAUCCGGGUCGACCACGAUCCAACCCUAAAUACUAAUACCAGAUCGAUAGUGCACAAGUACCGUGAGGGAAAGGUGAAAAGAACUGAGGUGAUCAGAGUGAAAUAGAACCUGAAACCAUUUGCUUACAAUCAUUCAGAGCCCUAUGUAGCAAUACAGGGUGAUGGACUGCCUUUUGCAUAAUGAGCCUGCGAGUUGUGGUGUCUGGCAAGGUUAAGCAAACGCGAAGCCGUAGCGAAAGCGAGUCUGAAUAGGGCGCUUAGUCAGAUGCUGCAGACCCGAAACGAAGUGAUCUAUCCAUGAGCAAGUUGAAGCUAGUGUAAGAACUAGUGGAGGACUGAACCCAUAGGCGUUGAAAAGCCCCGGGAUGACUUGUGGAUAGGGGUGAAAGGCCAAUCAAACUUCGUGAUAGCUGGUUCUCUCCGAAAUAUAUUUAGGUAUAGCGUUGUGUCGUAAUAUAAGGGGGUAGAGCACUGAAUGGGCUAGGGCAUACACCAAUGUACCAAACCCUAUCAAACUCCGAAUACCUUAUAUGUAAUCACAGCAGUCAGGCGGCGAGUGAUAAAAUCCGUCGUCAAGAGGGAAACAACCCAGACUACCAGCUAAGGUCCCUAAGUCUUACUUAAGUGGAAAACGAUGUGAAGUUACUUAAACAACCAGGAGGUUGGCUUAGAAGCAGCCAUCCUUUAAAGAAAGCGUAAUAGCUCACUGGUCUAGUGAUUUUGCGCGGAAAAUAUAACGGGGCUAAAGU
rnacentral:rRNA from 1 species